GCUUGAGCACGUAGGUGGGUUUGUAAGUCAGAUGUGAAAGCCUUCUGUUCAACGGAAGAAUUGCAUCUGAAACUGCAAGUCUUGAGUGUAGGAGGGGAGAAUGGAACUUCUGGUGGAGCGGUGAAAUGCGUAGAUAUCAGAAGGAACGCCGGCGGCGAAAGCGAUUCUCUGGCCUAUUACUGACACUCAGUGUGCGGAAGCUAGGGGAGCAAACGGGAUUAGAUACCCCGGUAGUCCUAGCCGUAAACGAUGGGCACUAAGUAGAGGGAAUUACCGAUGUUCUCUCUGCCGUAGCUAACGCAUUAAGUGCCCCGCCUGGGGAGUACGGCCGCAAGGCUAAAACUCAAAAGAAUUGACGGGGGCUCGCACAAGCGGUGGAGCAUGUGGCUUAAUUCGAUGCAACGCGAAAAAUCUUACCGGGGCUUGACAUGGUAGAAGUAGGAACCCGAAAGGGUAACGAACGGUAUCCAGUCCGUAGCUAUUACAGGUGUUGCAUGGCUGUCGUCAGCUCGUGUCGUGAGACGUUGGGUUAAGUCCCCUAACGAGCGAAACCCUUAUUUUUAGUUACCAGCGGGUUGUGCCGGGUACUCUAGAAAGACUGCCGUCGUCAAGACGGAGGAAGGUGGGGAUGACGUCAAGUCAUCAUGGCCCUUAUGCCCCGGGCUGCACACGUGCUACAAUGGUCGGUACAAACGGAUGCGAAGCCGAGAGGUGAAGCGAAUCCAAGC
rnacentral:rRNA from 1 species